UUCCAUUCCGAACUCAGAAGUGAAACGAAUUAGCGCCGAUGGUAGUGUGGGGCUUCCCCAUGUGAGAGUAGGACAUCGCCAGGCU
rnacentral:rRNA from 2 species